CCUACGGGAGGCAGCAGUGGGGAAUAUUGGACAAUGGGCGAAAGCCUGAUCCAGCCAUGCCGCGUGUGUGAAGAAGGCCUUCGGGUUGUAAAGCACUUUCAGUGGGGAAGAAAGCCUUGGGGCUAAUACCCUCGAGGAAGGACAUCACCCACAGAAGAAGCACCGGCUAACUCCGUGCCAGCAGCCGCGGUAAUACGGAGGGUGCGAGCGUUAAUCGGAAUUACUGGGCGUAAAGCGCGCGUAGGCGGUCUGAUAAGCCGGUUGUGAAAGCCCCGGGCUCAACCUGGGAACGGCAUCCGGAACUGUCAGGCUAGAGUGCAGGAGAGGAAGGUAGAAUUCCCGGUGUAGCGGUGAAAUGCGUAGAGAUCGGGAGGAAUACCAGUGGCGAAGGCGGUCUUCUGGACUGACACUGACGCUGAGGUGCGAAAGCGUGGGUAGCAAACAGGAUUAGCUACCCUUGUAGUC
rnacentral:rRNA from 1 species